rnacentral:lncRNA from 1 species
CUAAUACAUAUAUGCGUAGUGCAAUGUAUAUACAUCAAAUGAAUAUAUAUAACAUAAAAAUACAUUAAUAAAAAACAAUAAUAUUAAACUAUUAAUAAUACUGUAUAACAUAUAUACAUAAGUAUUAAAUAAAGGUGGGACGAAAUUGGGUUGAAAGCAGAAUCUUAGUGUAAGGCCCAAAUUAUGCCCGGGCCCAGACCACAAGAAUAAACCAAGAAAAAACAAAAAUAAUUAACGGCCCAUCUAAUGUCCAUUUACAGUUCAAAUCAUUACAAUGUCCACAAGUCCACUUACAAUAUUAAACAACCCCAAACCCAGCUGCAUAACCCAAGACCCAAUUAAGAUCCAAUAGCUAAAACCCUAACCCAAAACCCGGACGGCCCAAUAGGCCCAAUGCCUAAAACAAGAGUCAAGGCAACAAACCCUAGCCCCAUUCGCUCAGCGCCGCAACGACCCCAGCCCCAGCAGCCUCCGUACACAGUACGCCGUACUCCUCCACGCCAAGCUGCGCCAACUGGCCUCCGUACCUGCAAAGAAACAGACAAACACAACAGCAAGGACAAGCAAAAACAAAAAGUAGCAGUAGAGAAAAAUAACAGAAAAUGAAAUUAUUUGUAUUUUUUCUUCUGAUUUUCGGCUAUAUAAAAGCCUUAUUUUCAUUGUAGGUGGAGAGAAUAGAUACUCAUAUUGAAUAGAGAGUUCAAAAGCAAUUUUUUGGGAAGGUGAUUUUCGAUUUAAAUCUCUGUGUAUUUUUUUUGUUUGUUUUUCAUUCUUUUGGGUUCAUAGUUUUAAUGUUUGAAAGAAAAUAAAAAGAGGAGAAAGAAGUUCUUACCUGGAAAAUAUGCCAUAAACCUCCUUUUUGCUUUGUUUGAAUCGAAGCCAAGAAGAGAUUUGAAGGCUGAAAGAUCAUUCCCCAUGCUUGAAUAUGUAGCUUAGUGUUUGAGAGAGGGAGAGAAUCGGCCAAAUGAGGGGAAAGUAUGGGGUAUUAGGUUUUCUGCCUUAAUUGUGGCUUGAAGAAAUGGCAAUUGCCAUUCAAUUUCCUGCCACUUUGAAAUAAAUUGAAACGGUGGUGUUUAAGGGUGGGGG